GUGAUGUGGUUUGAUGCUUCUCGCUGACUAAAAACUCUCAACUUUUCCUGUAAAUGAAGCCGUUUCUUUCUGCAGAUUCUCAGUGAAGCAGCAGCAGCAGCACAAACCUGGAGGAUGUCGGCGUCUGUGAUUGCAUUUCUCCUCAUCCUGCUUCCAUAUCAAGCCGAGAGUGUGACAUUUAAGGAAACUCAACCAAUAAUAACCAACAGCAAGGAGAAAGUGGAGUUUACAUGUAGCCACGAUGACGGUGCUCUCAAUGUGAUGCUCUGGUAUCAGCAAACAGAGAGCGGAAAGAUGAAUUUAAUUGGAUUUGGCUACUAUCUCAGCAACCCCAACUACGAAAAGGAGUUUGAAAAUCGGUUUAAAAUCACAAGAGAAAACAUCCAAACAGGAGGUCUGGUUAUUGACAGCGUGGAUGCGUCAGACUCGGCUGUGUAUUUCUGCGCUGGCAGUACACAGUGAUGUGGUUUAAUGAGAUCACAGCUACAAAAACCUGCUUCCUUCAUUUUCAAGAUCCUGCCUCAGUACAGUAGGCGUCAGUAACUUUCAUUAUUCGCACACAAAGGCAGGUUUCAAAAGACAAUACAAUACAGACGUCAAGUUAAAUAAAUUAAAUACAGGGCAGAAUGCUUGUGUGCACUGUACAUGUAUGAUUUUAGGCAGAGAGUAGUGUAAAAGUAAAAAAUGUAGUAAAAUAAGCACCAAAAUGUGUAUUUUCUUUCCAUGAGUCUUUAUGGAGGCUAAAUAUUCUUCCCG